UACUGCGGUGAAUACGUUCCCGGGCCUUGUACACACCGCCCGUCACACCACGAAAGUCAUUCACACCCGAAGCCGGUGAGGUAACCGCAAGGAGCCAGCCGUCGAAGGUGGGGGCGAUGAUUGGGGUGAAGUCGUAACAAGGUAGCCGUAUCGGAAGGUGCGGCUGGAUCACCUCCUUUCUAGGGA
rnacentral:rRNA from 1 species